rnacentral:rRNA from 1 species
AGAGUUUGAUCCUGGCUCAGGACGAACGCUGGCGGCGUGCCUAAUACAUGCAAGUCGAACGCACAGACAACGGAACUUGUUCCGUUAGACGUGAGUGGCGCACGGGUGAGUAACACGUGGGAAACCUACCCUUCAGCGGGGGAUAACCGUCGGAAACGAUGGCUAAUACCGCAUAGUACUUUGAACCACCUGGUUUAAAGAGGAAAGACGGCUUCGGCUGUCACUGAAGGAUGGUCCUGCGGUGCAUUAGCUAGUUGGUAAGGUAACGGCUUACCAAGGCGAUGAUGCAUAGCCGACCUGAGAGGGUGAUCGGCCACAUUGGGACUGAGACACGGCCCAAACUCCUACGGGAGGCAGCAGUAGGGAAUCUUCCGCAAUGGACGCAAGUCUGACGGAGCAACGCCGCGUGUGUGAAGAAGGUCUUCGGAUCGUAAAGCACUGUUAUUAGAGAAGAACAACCGGUAGAGUAACUGUUACCGGCUUGACGGUAUCUAACCAGAAAGCCACGGCUAACUACGUGCCAGCAGCCGCGGUAAUACGUAGGUGGCAAGCGUUGUCCGGAUUUAUUGGGCGUAAAGGGAGCGCAGGUGGUGAUUUAAGUCUGAUGUGAAAGCCCACGGCUCAACCGUGGAAGGUCAUUGGAAACUGGAUCACUUGAGUGCAGAAGAGGAAAGUGGAAUUCCAUGUGUAGCGGUGAAAUGCGUAGAUAUAUGGAGGAACACCAGUGGCGAAGGCGACUUUCUGGUCUGUAACUGACACUGAGGCUCGAAAGCGUGGGGAGCAAACAGGAUUAGAUACCCUGGUAGUCC